rnacentral:rRNA from 1 species
AACGAACGCUGGCGGCGCGCCUAAUACAUGCAAGUCGAGCGAGAAGACGUAGCAAUACGUUUGUAAAGCGGCGAACGGGUGAGGAAUACAUGGGUAACCUACCCUCGAGUGGGGAAUAACUAGCCGAAAGGUUAGCUAAUACCGCGUACGCUCCUCGGACUUCGGUUCAGGGAGGAAAGCGAUACCGUGGGUAUCGCGCUCUUGGACGGGCUCAUGUCCUAUCAGCUUGUUGGUGAGGAACGGCUCACCAAGGCUUCGACGGGUAGCUGGUCUGAGAGGACGAUCAGCCACACUGGCACUGCGACACGGGCCAGACUCCUACGGGAGGCAGCAGUAAGGAAUAUUGCGCAAUGGGCGAAAGCCUGACGCAGCGACGCCGCGUGGGGGAUGAAGGCC